UACGUAGGUCCCGAGCGUUGUCCGGAUUUAUUGGGCGUAAAGCGAGCGCAGGCGGUUAGAUAAGUCUGAAGUUAAAGGCUGUGGCUUAACCAUAGUACGCUUUGGAAACUGUUUAACUUGAGUGCAAGAGGGGAGAGUGGAAUUCCAUGUGUAGCGGUGAAAUGCGUAGAUAUAUGGAGGAACACCGGUGGCGAAAGCGGCUCUCUGGCUUGUAACUGACGCUGAGGCUCGAAAGCGUGGGGAGCAAACAGGAUU
rnacentral:rRNA from 1 species